rnacentral:misc_RNA from 1 species
UUGUCUCAUUCUCAUAAAUUCUUCUAGAAUAGCUUCUAGCCCUAAAUCUCCAAAUCUCUUACACAGGGAUCCUCAAAUUCUUCCCACACAAUGGUCUUCUCUAUUCUAUUCCAGUUGUUAAACCAAGAAUCUGUCCUAUCAACCAAAUACAAACUUAUAAUUCCUACCAUUUUCUCCUUAGGAACUCCACAAACUUCAAAGUACUUGGCACACUUCCCAAUCCGCACCCUAGGAUCACUUCCAUCAUAUGUAUUUAACUCAAUUUUAGGGAGAACUUUAUCAAUGCUACCGAUUCAUUCACAGAUCCAAAGCUCCCUUGCUCCUUAUGUUGAGAAGGCAAGAUCUCCACCAGUCUAGGCAAGAUCCCCUUGUCAUUUGCCCUAUUUUCCUGCGGCAAUCCAGAGGAAAUUUCUUUUCCAAGAUCCCCUUUAAUCCCUAAAAUAAGAGACUUAAGUUCUACCAUGGAAUUUUCCAUGGAGUUUAUAGAAUUCUUGUCUCUUGGACCUCUUUUUAAAACCCUUCCACAUCUUUCCAGAUUCCAAUUUGCAGAUUCUUGAAGUCAACCUUAAGCAUCUACAUCUCCUUCCUUGUGCUGCGAGUUUCCAGCUAGAAAGAUCUUAGUUGUUCUUCCACUUUUGCCAAUUUGACUGCCUUUUGGAUCACCACCACUGAACUUGCCAUGAUUACAACCCAGGAGAACCAAAUUGUAAAAGUAACCCACCCCCAUACAAGCUCUGAUACCAAAUGUUAGGUUUAGGAACCCUAACAGCUCUGUUACAGAUAAUUAGGAAGAAAUAGAGAUAAAAGAAGAAAUGAAAGAAACAGAGAAAAGAUAGAGUUUCUUGAUAUUUCUUGGAAUGUCCUUCCUCCUACUACAUAGCUGUUUUUUAUACAGCUGACUUCAGUUACAACUACUGUACCUCUAACAGCACCAGCUUACAAUCCAGUUAUUGUAGACUACCUGAACUACCCUGCUACCUUCCUUACUUUAUUACAACUCUUUUUUACUAAUUUCCCUAUUAUUUUUCUUUUUCCUAAAUCUUGUUUUCUCAUAUGUAACAAGAUCAUGAUGACAAAUUCGUAAUGCACCGGUGGUAGUUUUUCAGAAUUUUUUAAGCCUUUUGUGAGCUCUUUCUAGCAUUGGGUAAACUCGAUUUCUAGCAUUUGGAAAUUGCUUUGCACAAGGGCUGAUAAAAACCAUUACAGUUAAGUAAUUACUAGAACAAUAGUCACAAUAUGUUUUUUAAGAAACCUCACUCUUUAAAGGGUGUAAAGGUAAUAGGAUGGCUAUGUUAGGGUUUGGACCCUAACAAAUCAAAGAGGAAGAAUCGAGGAAGGAAAUAUAGAGAACAGAAAAAAUUAGAGGAACAAGAAGAAGGAAGAAAUUGAGGAAGAGAAGAAUUGAAGAGGAGAUAUUAUUUCAGGUAAUACUUAAAUGUCUUUAUAAAGAGUACUUUCUCCCUUUAUAUAGCAGUUAUCAAUAUCACAUAGUUGCUCAAAAGGGGAAAAUAAUAUAAUUUGCAUCUGCACAUAGUUUUCUUUUUCUAUAUCACAAUUUGACAACAGUUCUUUUCUUAACUUCCAUUCUUUCUUACUGAAGAACAGAUUGUGCAUGGACAAAAGAUAUUCUGAUAUAUCAUUAUGAAAUAGUUAAUUUCUUAUAUUUGAGUCGUUCACUGUCAAAUCUAUAAAUCAGCUAUAUAAUUUGUGUUCUUGCUUAUUUGUGACUCGAUUAUUUUAAAUUGCAACUUGUUACUUUACUAAACUGACAACUGAGACUGAAAAAGCUAGACAAGAUGCUUUUUUUCAAUAAGAUUGUGAGUGAAUCAUCAACGUUCUAUUUCUGGAGCAGCUCGACACCUGCUCUCAUCCCGGAAGCAGGGGACCUUGUGGCCCGGCUUGUUGAUCAUCCCUGUAUUUGUUGCUUUGAAAUACUGUGAUUUUCGCAUGACUGGUCAGUUCUGUUAAACCUUUAUUAACUGGGAGGAACUAAAGGAGCAUCCUGCUGCAAGUUCUCCUGAAAAGAUUUCCAGAAUUUGUACAGUUUUCCACAUCUUUUAUGUUAUCCUGUUAAAUAGUAGCAAAAAGCCAACUUUUUAAGCAAGUUGAGAACUUCUACAAUGUUUUUUUCCAUAGUGUAAAGCGUGAUUUAAUGGAUGCAAGUUGGUUCAGCAGAUUAAAAUCUGCUUUGUUAAUGGACAACAUUUGUUAAAUUUCUAUGGUUUCUCUCUCUCUCCCCUUAGAGGUGUCCAGGAAAAUUGUAUAUAUUCGGACUUAUUUUACUAGUUCCUCAGUUAGCUUCAUAAUGAUUAUUCAUAUACCCUCUUUUAUGCUCGUUCUGGUUUCUUGUUUUCUUAAUGCCAACGAUCUUGAGACAAGCAAAUUGAGUCUGCCUUCCCUGAGCUGAGCAGGCAGUCAACUGGGAAGCUGCGCUUUACUAAACAGCAGUUAUUGUCAUUAAAUGUUGUGCUUUUUGGAGACUCGAUGGUUAAUGCUGGACUUUGAUCAAUAUUUGGAAUUCAAGAGAAUGGAGACUGUUAGGGUAAAAUAGUUAUGAAUAAUUUUGGAGAAAGAGAGAGUGAAAUUGAUAUCUUUUGUUCAUUGGAUGAGUAUUAUGCCUAAAGUUUUAAUCAAACUUCAACCUGCAGGCUUAUGCCUUCGCCAGAGCUAGAAGACAAGGAAAUGCCUUAGAAAUGACUGGAUUUUAGGUUUGCUUAAAUAACAAUUCCUUAUUAAAAGAGUGACGAAUUCUUUACAUCCCUGUCCAAUUAUGAAGUGAACAAGUAGAGUAUCAAUCGUCAAGUCUCUAAAAAGCACGACAAUUAAUUAAAUUUGGCUAGAGGGCCUCACUCGUCUGAUUCUCUUGCCUUUGAUUGAUUCCUUCCUAAAAGCAAGAGUUGGUGAAAGAAAUCACAUGCAAAGAACACCUCUAAUCCAAUGCAUUAGGACCAAAGCAUCUCCUUUUUGCAGGGUUCCAUACCCAUUGCACCAGGAAUCUCCUUCCCUUCACUCCAUUCACAUUGUACCCAUCUCCCCAGUAAUCUCUGUACACUUCCCCUGUAUACCCUCCUCCUCCACCUGUCCCAUACACACCCAGACACAAAUCUGCUAUUUCAGUAGGUGAAGUCGGGUCAUCUCCUGCAUACCAUGCAUUAACCAGUGGGUUGCUUGACACUUCUGCUAACUCAUGAGCAAUCACACUGAUCAUUCCAUCUACACCUGCAUCCCCAUUAGGGGCUUUCAUUAUGUUGUUGCCUCCAUUUGCGACUGGUGGUGGCUUCCCUGAAUACUUAGACCAUGCAAAUGGAUAGGCACACUGGCCAGGGCAUUGAGUUCCACUGUAGCCAACCCAAGCAUAGGGCACAGUCACACCAACCACGGUUGGAAAUGUGAAAUAGUGAAAGCCGCAGACUGCUCUGCAGAAAUCUUGAACUUGAACAUCUGCAGAAGUUAGCACUAAAUAGAGGCCAUUGUGAGGAUUAAGAGGCAAAGGUCGCGGAUGGGAAUUCAUGGCAGUUUUGAUCACUGAUUGGAUUGCUAGACGACUUAGAUAUCCACCAUGGGAGUAACUAGAGUCAUAAAACUCCCCAGAGAUCACUAUGCUUCCUGUGAUAUUUGAUCCUGUUUGGUCAGUAUAAAGCCUGACAGUUCUCCACCAAUCAGCUACAGAAGGAUAAGGAGAUGAAGAAGAAAGGGAGUAGAGGAAAUCUCUUAUAGUGGCUUGGUGGUUUUGGUUCCAGUGACCAUACCAGAUAAUGUACAAGUUGAUAGGUGAUGCUAGUACUGGACCCAUAUGGUACUGAAGAUCUAUUAGAUCAGAUGAACCCUCAUAGUUCUUAGCUUGGUUGAAUUGCUUGUUUUGGCUCCAAGGAAAACCCAAAGAAGAAGAUACAAAAAAUAGAAAGAGCAGAAGGAAAUGACUUUCCAGUUUCUUCUGCAUUAUGUUGUUUCUGACUUUCUGUAAUGUAUGUUGUGAUGGCCAAGGGAAAGUUCUUCUCUUAUUAUAAGUUGAAGGGGGUGGGUGAGAUUAUUCUCUUAUUAUUUCCAUGUGGUUGGCACUUUGCAAGUUCAUAUAUUUC